UAAUGUCGGGUUAUGUGCGAAAUUUGUGGUAGCAUAGCCUUGUUCCAAUCCACCAAAUGCUGGAAUGCAAGAAAAUAACAGUAGUUCGUUAUUAUUAUUACAACAUAACCAAGGAUUUUUGUAAAUAAUAUUAAAACUAAAUGUAAUUCCAAUUGUCAUAGCUGCCGGAUAUUAAUAAAACAAACGUUAGUUAUUGUUCAAAUAAUGCAUUCAAUUUGACUUCUUUUAAAAAUUUGGCACCACUGCCAGGAAUCAUACACAGAGAACGUAUAUCAUAAUUUACGUUCUCUGCGUAUACGUUCUCUGCAUACAGUCAAAGAAUGUCAACAAAUUGGCAUUGAGUUCCUACAGUUGCUGUCAUAUACAAAAAAGUCAAAAUCGUAGAGCGUAAACUUCAAAAUUUUUCAAAUUUUAUUUUGAAAAUUUUUAUUUUUACAAUUCGUGAGAAGAAUAUUUAUUUUGUCUGAGUUUAUAUAGCAGUAAAAGCAGUAAAACGGAGGGAAAUAAGCGAAGAAACGAGAGCAGCUCUUUCAUGAGCAACGGAGGAGUAGUAGAGUCACGCAGUAAAAGUGCAAUAUCUGCGACAUCGGUGAAACCCAUGGAAACAUUAAAGGGUAUUUUCAGUGUCCCCAAGAUGGAUCGUAACCGUCGAAACUUCCUGAGGGAGAAUAAAUUGAGUUUACGUGAAUUACAAAGAGUGACUAAUAAAAGUAAAAUGCAACAGCAGCAAGAACAACUGUUACGGGAACAAAAGUACGCUGGACGCCGUUCACAAUCUCAACAACGUAACAAUAACAUUUGUUUGGAUAAACAAACGGUGGCACGUUGUCCUUCAUUAUCACGCGUUCCCAGCGGCCGUGUUAUGGGACCUUCUGUUGCUGGUAGUGUCGGCGAUUGUGCAAAUCAUAUUAGUAGGCGCAGCGUUUCGCGAACAAAUAGCACGACGACAAUCAAAUCUGUACAUAAGCAAGUGCAAACUGAAGACAUACAAGACGAACAAUUUCUUUACGACGCAUUGAAGCGUUGUACUACCAACGAAUGUCAGUCACGUUUUAAUGGUUUACAACCAAACUUCACGCCACGUUCACAACAUACCGCAAACGAUGCGCAAAGCCGACACUCGUUUUAUCCAUCAGCCGAUGAGGACCAAAGGUGUCUGGGGAAUACAGAUGACCGCAUGUUUGCUACGCAACAACAAAUGGAGGAUCCAUACGUGCAACGUGAAGAUACCAAUAAUUAUGGGCAACAAUAUAAUGGACAGCAACAUGGCGAAGUAAUUGGAGGUGAUGAUGCAGAUACAGUGAAUAAUGAAAAUGUUGAACGCUUGUAUGCGCCCGAAUCAUCAUCAAAGUACAAUUUUGCACCAACACCACGCUCUCAAAAACACUUCACCAAUGGAUAUAAUAUGGUGGAAAGUGAUGGAUUACCACCAACUACGACAAUGCAAUCAUCAUAUGAACCACCAGAUCAACAGCAACAGCAACCACCAUUGCGUUACCGUAUGCAACCUCAUGUACAAGGUGAUUUACGUGCCAAUUUCGAAAAUAUGUCUUUAAACAACGGCUACGGCGGCGGUGCUGACUGCGAUGUUGGCGUUGAUGAAGAUUGUGGUGCCAUAGGAAACAGUGGUGGUGUUGAGGCUGUUUCCAUAUCCGGCCGUAGUCGACGUACGAAUAUCUCACAUACUUCACAGCACAGCAACACAGAUUUGGCCAAGAAGCGCUCUAGUGGUAGCAUACACAAACUAGGUUCUCGAGAUAAUAUAAGUCUGCCUCGUUAUUUGGAGCGUGAAAAACGUGAAAAGGAGGAACAUCGGCAACGUCAAAGUGAACGCGAUCCCAAUUGCCCACCUGGACAUUAUCCGCUAUCGGAUAAGGAGCGUCAGGCAGCACUUCAGUCAGCUGAAAAUAGAUUCAAAGCACUUGUAAAUGAACUAAAUCGCAUGCCUAUGACAACUGAAACUUUACGUAUGCGCGUGCGCAAAGCCGAAAUCGAGAAAGAACUGAAACUGCUCGAAACCGAUAUACGGGUAUUCUCCAAGUCUAAGGUGUAUGUGAAGCAUAAGGAACAGAAUAUUUGAAAUAAACACUUUUGUGCGUAAAUGUAUAUGUUUGACUACAGCCAGCGCGGCGAAGAAAUGCAUUCCAAUGUUUAGCCAUCGAGGUGUGUGUUCGUAUAUUUGUGCGAUUAUAUAACUAACUACGUGAUUUCUGAUAUGCAACAUUGCAUGUGUGUGCGAGUUGGAUAUUUGUUUUUAAAGCUACAUAUGUAUAUGUAAACAGAACAGAAAACCACCUAAUUCUUAGGUACGGAUAUCUACUAAUGAAAUAUAUUAUUUCUUAUAUUAUAUAAAUAUGCAAGUAAAUAUUUGUAUGAAAACCAAGAAUCUAUUGAUAUACAUUUUUAUGUAAUUAACUACCUGAAAACUUUGAAAUCUAUUUAAAUUUGAUAUAAACUGAAAAUAAUUACUUCAAAUUAAAUAGCAUUUGCAUUUAAGACGAUUAUAAUAUGAAACAAAACUGAAAAAAUAUUUAUUUAACAGCGUAUGUAAAGAAAUAAAAUGAAUUUAUAUUUAAAAUUCGCUUCGCAGCUUUACGUAAUGAUUUUACUGUAAAACUUUUUGAAACAUGAUUGACCAUACCCCAUAUAAACGCAGAUCUUCUGAGCUGUGUUGAAACACUGACAGAAGAUAUAUGUAGCUGCCAUAUAAACUGAUCGAUCAACCAGAGAACAUAAAAUAUGUGCAAAUGCAAACAAUAAAACAAACCACAUCGCGGCGUGAGAUUCAUCUGGUACGGUGCCUGCUUUACUUUUGUAGAGCCAGCUGGCAGCCAGCUUCCCGUGAGGUCACCUUCUGACUUUUAAAUCUCAUAACAUCGAGGCAAAAGAGUUACUGACCAGGCAUAGUUAAAAAUGUACACAUAGCAUUAAUUCAUUCUCUGGUUCCCUCAUCAAAUUUCUCUGCUUGAUCAUGUUAUCAAAGCUGUAAUUCUAUAGAUUCCAUUCUGCUAAAGAUCAAAACAAUGUUAAUAUUUUACUAGGGGAAUUCCUUGGUUGUGACCUGUAUUCCCCGAUUAAAAUUUUUCAAAUGUUUACUCUCGAACCUGCAUGUUACCGUUCUUUUAAGUUCUCUGAUUAUACGUUCUCUUGAUCCGCAUCAAGUUCUUGCACAGAAAACUUUUUUUUUUCGAAAAAAUAUCAUCAGAAGAUUUUGUACAGAUAAUUGUCCAAAUCAGCGCUACAAUCACCGAACAAAUUGUUCAGAUUGAACCAAUAUUGUAUAUAGCUGCCGUUCAACUGAUCGAUUAAAAUUAAGAUAAAGAUCUUUUUAUAUACUUUAAUGGUAUAAAAAAUGCACCUAAGAAGACUAUAAUAGCUUUGAUGUAAGCGAAGUUAAUGUUUUUUCUGACACUUAACCUUCGAAUUUAAGUCGCAGUUGUCAAACUGUAGUGAUUUUUAGAUCCAUCCAUACAUACAUAGUACAUUUGUACUUAAUUUACUUUUUCUAAAAAAUAUUAUCCUAUCUUAUCUAUAUUGCUGUUAACUAGUGUAAGCAAAGUUAUUUGGUUAUCGCUAAAUAGAUGCCAGAAGAGAUACACCCAAAGUGUUUGUGAUAAUUACUAUUUCUUUAAAUUAUUGCGUC